rnacentral:rRNA from 1 species
UAAGACGAACCGUGCGAACGUUGUUCGGAAUCACUGGGCUUAAAGGGCGCGUAGGCGGGCUGCCAAGUCCGUAGGUGAAAUCCCCCGGCUCAACCGGGGAACGGCCUCGGAUACUGGCGGCCUGGAGGGGGGUAGGGGCGUGCGGAACUGUGGGUGGAGCGGUGAAAUGCGUUGAGAUCCACAGGAACUCCGGUGGCGAAGGCGGCACGCUGGACCCUUUCUGACGCUGAGGCGCGAAAGCCAGGGGAGCGAACGGGAUUAGAUACCCCGGUAGUCCUGGCCCUAAACGUUGGGAACUAGGUAGUAGCCCGGACAUGGGGUUACUGCCGGAGCGAAAGUGCUAAGUUCCCCGCCUGGGGAGUAUGGUCGCAAGGCUG